rnacentral:rRNA from 1 species
GGCUCAGGAUGAACGCUAGCGGCAGGCUUAAUACAUGCAAGUCGUGGGGCAGCAGGUUUGUAGCAAUACAGAUGCUGGCGACCGGCAAACGGGUGCGGAACACGUACAGAACCUUCCUUGAGCGGGGAAUAGCCCAGAGAAAUUUGGAUUAAUACCCCAUAGUAUAAUGAAGUGGCAUCACUUUAUUAUUAAAGAUUUAUCACUCGAAGAUGGCUGUGCGGCUGAUUAGGUAGUUGGCGGGGUAAAGGCCCACCAAGCCUGCGAUCAGUAACUGGUGUGAGAGCACGACCAGUCACACGGGCACUGAGACACGGGCCCGACUCCUACGGGAGGCAGCAGUAAGGAAUAUUGGUCAAUGGAGGCAACUCUGAACCAGCCAUGCCGCGUGGAGGAUGAAGGUCCUCUGGAUUGUAAACUUCUUUUAUAUGGGACGAAAAGAGGCUUUUCUAAGUCGUCUGACGGUACCAUAUGAAUAAGCACCGGCUAACUCCGUG